UGGAAGUGGGGCCCCGAUGCCAGCUGCCAGGUUCCUGUGUGUCACAGCUCCUGUGGGUCCCCCACUCAUUGUAUUCCCCACGCCUCUCAGCCAAUCUCCCUUUUUUUUUUAAGCCAGCAAUGAGGCAAUUAAUGAGCUGUACAGAAGCCCUAACUUAUCUCUGGAACUAGAUGGGUAAUAAACACAUAAAUAAGUAAAUAAUUAAAUAACUAAAUAAAAUAAAACGGAUGAGCGAGGCAGGCAGGGCUCCAGUCUCCCUGGAAUAAGUGGCACAGGGUUAUAGAACAGCUGGUGAGGAGGGUGAGGCCUGCUCUCUGGUCUCAGCUGUGCCGCCAUCAUGGAGCGCUACCUUGGGAUCCUAAGCCAGGCCCUGCUGACAGCAUCUUGCUGGGCAUCUCUGGCCUCUCAAGCCUGGUAGGGGCCCAGCGCCCUACAAUUUACAAGUUCUAGAAGACCGUAGAGAACGGCGUUAGGAUCUAGGAUCUACGCUCAGGCCUGCCCCUUAGCACCCACUCCUGCGGUCCAUCAGCAAAUACAUGCCUGAGCCCAUCUGCUGGUGCACUGCACAUCACCCUGCAGGAGGAUCUGGGGCGCCAGGAAGCCUAUGGUGAAACCUGAGAUCUACUCUCUCAUGGAAACAGGUGCCAAAAAUCAACCCCCUUCCAGAACCAGGCUGUUUUUAGAGAUGACUUGGAAAUUUCUGGAGAUGUUAGUUUCACUCCUGUCCGUCUAACCACCUCUCAGCUUCUAUCUUCAGAAAUCUGCUCUCAAGAUGGAGCUUUUUAUACCCUAAUGAGAACAGAACAAAGGUAUCAGGGAGAUUGGAUCUUCAUCAUAACCAACCCCAACUUACAUGUAAGAUUUUGGUUAAUUAUAGAAUUCUUGCUGCCUAAAACUUAAAGAUACAUCCCUGAUAUUUUUGCUAAAUGUUGACUGCAGCGAAUAGCUAAGAUGUGGCAUAUUGAUUUCUUGUUGUGAAGUGAGCUGUUCAAGCUCCAUUUAAGAUUUUCAUCUUGCAUGUAGCCCUGAGCACAUCAUAGCACCAUAAAUUAGUUAAAUUGCACAUUUAUCACAAAUGUUAUUUUAAGAUACUGCGUAAAUGUGAUGGCUGGAAGAUAUACGUAGGGCUGCAACAAGACUGGGCUUGGGCGGGGUGAGGUCAGGGUCACCUACACACCUGUGAUUAAACCCCCUCCCUUGGCAACAUUCCCCUCCCGCGCCAGGCCCACCCACUCGAAGACUGGACUCGGACAACAGGGUCCUCCUUCCACUCACCUUCUCUUUAAACACCAGCCACAGAAACGAACCCAGUGACAACAGACUUGGAAUUCGACUUUAGAUUUUCCUCUUUGAUCUCAGGGAAAUCAGGGCCAUGCUGGGCUGCAAGGGUCUGGUGGCUUUGGGAGAAAAUGGCCCAGCUUUUCCAAGUGUGGCGAUACUCCCAACAAGCCCCACCCUGCCUGCUUCAUGCUAAGGUGACUGUCCUUGUUCCAGAGGGAGCUUCAUUCAAGCCUGGCAUCCUCCACUGCCCAGUUACUACGUCUUCUAGGAAGUAAAAUCCAUUCCUGGUCCCCAUUAAUAGGAGCAGUCCUUUCCUGGCUAGGGGCCCGCGAUGCCAAGGAGCAGUAGAACCGGCCACCUACCUUGGCUGUCAAUCCUCACUUCUCCCCCCAAACAGAAAAGCCCUGAAGAGACUCCCGAGAGUGGGGUAAGGAGGACAGACAUGGGCAGAGCGUUGGGUCCUUCUCCCAAACUAUACAGAGGGGGGUUCCGCCAUCACUUGUACAAAUCCCAUCUCCCUUCAAGCCACAUGGGCCCCGGUGGUGAUGGAAGUGUUGUCAGUUUAAUCUGUUAGAUGCAGGACUUUGGAUUCUAAUAAACCGAUGCUAUAUUUAACCUGUGAAAAAUUCAAGAGUGGAAAUCUGGGCUCCAGGAUGUGAAGACGGGGAAGGCACAGGAGGGAGGGUUUCUCUGUCCCCUGAGCCAGGUUCCGGUGGGGGAACUGGUCCCCCAACUCCUCCAAGGAAAUGCAAGUGUCCCCUCAGCUUCUUCCAGGUAAGGGCCAACAGGGCCAAGAACUGCGCAGGGGGCAGGGGCGGUGCAUGUCAGAUUGGGGAAUGGGGCAGACCCUGGACCCAAGGGGAAAAACUCUUUCCACCCACCUUUCAGCAGAGCCCACGUGUGCGGGGCAUCACGGGCGAGAGCAGAGUUGGCGCAGCGCUAUUUGCCAAAAGCUCAUUUUAAACUCCAGGGAGGUUCUCUCUAAAAACCAGAAGAGGGACGGAUUGCCGAGAGAAAGCAGAGUAGACAGAACAUUUGGACUCAUCUUGACAAAAAGGGGUGGGGACCAGUCGAAAAGCCGUGGGCG